UACGUAGGGUGCAAGCGUUAAUCGGAAUUACUGGGCGUAAAGCGUGCGCAGGCGGCUUUGCAAGACAGAUGUGAAAUCCCCGGGCUUAACCUGGGAACUGCAUUUGUGACUGCAUGGCUAGAGUGCGGCAGAGGGGAUGGAAUUCCGCGGUGUAGCAGUGAAAUGCGUAGAUAUGCGGAGGAACACCGAUGGCGAAGGCAAUCCCCUGGGCCUGCACUGACGCUCAUGCACGAAAGCGUGGGGAGCAAACAGG
rnacentral:rRNA from 1 species